AGGGAGUUUGAUCCUGGCUCAGGAUGAACGCUAGCGGCAGGCUUAACACAUGCAAGUCGCGGGGCAGCGCGGGUAGCAAUACCUGGCGGCGACCGGCGGAAGGGUGCGUAACGCGUGAGCAACAUGCCCGUCUCAGGGGGAUAACCGAUGGAAACGUCGCCUAAUACCCCGUAACAACAGUUAUCGCAUGAUGGUUGUUUGAAAGCUCCGGCGGAGACGGAUUGGCUCGCGUGACAUUAGCUGGUUGGCGGGGUAACGGCCCACCAAGGCGACGAUGUCUAGGGGUUCUGAGAGGAAGGUCCCCCACACUGGAACUGAGACACGGUCCAGACUCCUACGGGAGGCAGCAGUGAGGAAUAUUGGUCAAUGGGCGGAAGCCUGAACCAGCCAUGCCGCGUGCAGGAAUGAGGCCCUAUGGGUCGUAAACUGCUUUUGCUGCGGAGCAAUAAGUGCCACGUGUGACACGAUGAGAGUACGCAGCGAAUAAGCAUCGGCUAACUCCGUGCCAGCAGCCGCGGUAAUACGGAGGAUGCGAGCGUUAUCCGGAUUUAUUGGGUUUAAAGGGUGCGUAGGCUGUUCGUCAAGUCAGUGGUGAAAUGCCGGGGCUCAACCCCGGAGCUGCCAUUGAUACUGUCGGGCUUGAAUCCUGCUGCCGUGGGAGGAAUGAGUAGUGUAGCGGUGAAAUGCAUAGAUAUUACUCAGAACACCGAUUGCGAAGGCAUCUCACGAAACAGGCAUUGACGCUGAGGCACGAAAGCGUGGGGAUCAAACAGGAUUAGAUACCCUGGUAGUCCCCU
rnacentral:rRNA from 1 species